AGACAGCUGGAAGUUGGAAGGCUGCCAAGCUUGAAGGGAAGUGGAAACCAUAUUUUCUGUAAUGCAGUCAACAGUCCUUAAUCAGGCCCAGGACCCUGAGGGCUCUAAGAACAAACCCCAAAUAGUCAAGAUGUUUCUAAGGUAAUAUUAAGGAAUUUUUCAACACAAAACAUUUUUGGUUCAAAUGGACUGAAAACCCAAACUAUUCUAUGAUUCUACAAAAAAGAGAGACUCCAUGUUAUUUCAAAGUCAAAGAAUCAAAUAAGACAUCUUUACAAGUAUCCAGUAUGAUGACAUCUAAAAUUUCCAUACAAAAUGCUUGCUUGCUUAUAUUGAUCUCAGAAAGCUUUGGUUGAUAAGGAACAGUGUAUAGAACCCAAUGCAUCAGACUUGCAUAGUUUAAUACAAGAGGGGAGACUAUUGGUGAAGACUUCUUGCUCCAGCUGCAGGAUGCACCAUGCUAACAGGCUCUUGUCCUGCUGGGGGACUUCACCCACCCUGACAUCUACCAGAAAAUUAGCACAAUAAACUGUAGCAAUCCAAGAGACUCCUGGAAUGCAUGAAAGAAUUUCAUGAGCCAAGUAGUAGAGAGCCCUACAAGAGGGAAUAUGUUACUGGAUCUGAUGGUCACCAAUGUAAGCUAGCAAAUUGGGGACAUCAAAACUGAAGGCUGCCUGGGCUACAGGGAUCAUAUAUUGUUGUAAUUUGGAGUCCUGAGGGAAAUUUGCUGAUGACACCAAGCUGAUUGCUGUGGCUGACACACCUGGAGGACAGGAUAUCAUCCAGAGGUACCUGCACAAGCUCAAGAAACAGAUCCAUGGGAACCUCAGAGGUUUAACAAGACCAAGAGCAAGGUGCUGUACCUAGGUUGGGGCAGCCCCCUGUAUCAAUCAAGGCUAAAGGGAUGAACAGAUUAAAAGCAGCCCUUCUGAGAAUGACUGAGGGGUACUGGUGGACAAGAGGCUGGACAUGAGCUGGCAAUGUGCACUUGCAGCCCAGAAAGCCAAUCUUUUGGGCUGCAUCAAAAGGAGUGUGAUCAGCAGGUUGAGGGAGGUGGUUCUGCCUCUCUACUCCACUCUGGUGAGAUCCCACCUGGAGUACUGCAUUAGGCUCUGGAGUGCCCAGCACAGGAAAGAUGUGGACCUGUUAGAGUGAGUCCAGAGGAGGUCAUCAAGAUGAUUAGAGGGAUGAAACACCUCUCCUGUGAGGAAAGGCUGAGAGAAUUAGGAUUGUUCAGCCUGGAGAAUAGAAGGCUUCAAGGUGACUUCAUUUCAUCCCUCCAGGACCUAAAGGGGACUAAAAGAAAGAUGGAGAAAGACUAUUAGCAAGAGCAUGUAGAGAGAGGACAAUGAAGAAAGGCUUUAAGCUGAAA